AUAAUUAUGUGUGGCAUUUCAACGUUGUUGUGGUUGUUGUUUAAGUUAAAAAGCAUUUUUGUGUUGACUUUUAUUGUGUGUAAACCCGCACGCGGCAUCUCGGUGUUGUUAUUGUCGCGCGCAAAGCUUGACUCGCGGGAUUUAAUGUUGUAGCAACCGGCUGUGAGGAGAAAUGCUGUUAAAGUUCAUUUAUUUACUGUAACACGGUUUAAACGUCUCAGUUUCGCUGGAAAACAAGACCCAAAGCAGGAUAUGGUUAUGUUCAUCUGAAAAGAACAGAAUAUUUAAGAAAAAAUAUAUAUAUAUUUAAAAAAUAACGACGAAGAAUGGACGACAGCCGUGAGGGAAAGGAAAGUUUGGGCGAGGGCUCGUGCAGUGGCGCUGACGCUCAGGAGGAAGCUCCGGGGAGCAACAUCACCUGUGCAGAGCAUUCACUGCCACUGAGGGAGCUGUAUCCUUAUAUUCGUUGUGGUCUCUGCAAUGGCUUCUUCAUCGAUGCCACCACCAUCACUGAAUGCCUUCAUACAUUCUGUAAAAGUUGCAUUGUCAAGCACUUCUUCUGCAGCAACAGGUGUCCCAACUGUAGCAUCGUCGUUCAUCAAACACAACCACUAUACAAUAUAAGACCUGACAGGCAGUUACAAGAUAUUGUUUAUAAGAUGGUCCCAUGUUUGGAGGACGUGGAGAGGGCACGAAUGUGUGCGUUUUACAAAGAGAGAGGACUGCCAAUCCCAAAACCAGCUCUAAGUAUGCUUCCAGUAAAGCUUCUGAAACAGAAACAGAGAGACCACAUGCCACAGUCUGUUUUCACCAUUCCUCCAGAGCUUGAUGUGUCUCUAAUGUUGGAUUUUGUUGGAGCUGAGGAGGGCAUUGAGAAUUAUAAGCCUUUGGAGAGAAAGUAUAUCCGUGUCUCAGGUGAAGCUACUAUUCGUCACGUGGAGCUCUUUAUCAGAAGGAAAAUGGAGUUGAGUCCAAAUCUGAAGGUGGAUGUUGUUUGUGGAGAGCAUCUCUUAGAGCAGUGUCAGUCUUUAAGAGAAGUGCAAAGCACAAUGGGAGAAAAUGCCCUACAGGAUGGAAUGCUGGUUUUACAGUUUGGACUUGUGCUGCCUACUCAGUGAACAGAAGACUGUGAAUUAUCUAACCUUCUAUCCACAGGGAACAACGACGAUGACCCCAAACACACCUCUAGGUUAUGUAAGAGCUAUUUGUCCAAGAAGAAGAGUGAUGGAAUGCUGCAUCAGAUGACCUGGCCUCCACAAUCACCCGAUCUAAAUCCAACAGAGAUGGACAAGAAGAUGCAGCAAAAUACAGCAAAACAACAGAAGUAACUUCGAGUGCAGGUAUGUGUGCCAGCCCAGCAGGAGACUCCAGAGGGUAAAGGCUCAUCAGCCCGACAUGAACACACCAUGCGGCUCUCAGUGGGUGACUGAGAAUACAGAAAACGUUGGUUUCCUGCAAGCUGUCCACCCACCUCAUGCUCUAAAGAAAACUACACACCAUUUGGCCUCGACCUUUCAGAACACACCUGGCACUCCGUUUGCAGACGAAUAUCAACACACCGAAUACCAGGCCGUCUAUGGUCCUAAGGUCAACACAGCUCUUUUCAGCUUUACUCUGUACCGACAGAUCCACGGAACAGCUUAAAAGGUAUUUCAUCAGAACACAAAACAAUAGUACAGCAGCACAGUACAUAGUACUAUAGAUUCCAGCUUCAUCGAGGGUGUUCAUAACAGUCAACAUAUUCAUGACAUCAUAACCUUCUAUAACAUCAUAUCCCAGCCCAAUUAUAAAUGUGACAUUACUAGAGGCUUACUCCUAUAUUUAUAUUUACUUCUAUAACUUGCUGUGGUUUUCCUGGUAGCAUCUAGCUAGUGCUAUACAGCUACACAAAUUAUAUAGCACAACACAAUAUGCACAAAUAGUUAAUCAAUGGUAUCUCACCAUAUGCUACGAUUUCAUCACUGACUAUUGGAACUUCAAAACACUGAGUUCUUUUUUUUAUACCUUAUCCCCUGAUGUAGGAUGUAAAAUAUUUACACAUAGCAUAUCAUAGAAUAAGUAGAAAUUCAAGCAAAACUUUAUUUCUUCUCCACAGCAGGUCUCCAGGUGCCAAAUGUAAAAAUUUGAAUUCUCUUCUCAGAUACAGUGGAUAUAAAAAGUGUACCACCCCCUGCCCCCCCUUUUUUGUGAUUUUUCGUCAUUUAUAAAAAUGACACAAAGACAAAUCCAUAUAAAUUAUCCAAAUAAUAAAUAAUGCAUAUAAAUAUAUCCAAAAAUAAUCAUACCCACUGUAUAUUACAAAGAGUAAUUCAUGAAGCAUUGGGACUGUUGGGAGACAUCCAUGCUCCACGCAAAUUCUUUGGCCUCAUCACAUCAAGACAGUCAGUCUAUUUGCAGAGAAGUACACACAUCAAACACCAGAGCAUCUUGUCCAGAGAUCACGAGUUCACGACAUCACAGCCAUCCGUGUCCAAGAGAGCAAAAUUUGCCAUGCUCUCAGGGAAAGAGUGGCAUGCUCUCUCUUCCUUAUCAAUCACAGCGACACUAGCGAAUCAUGGGCAUCUGUAAGCUCAUGUUUGUGAAAGUGGCUGAUCACGCUUCCCUCCGAGUGUGUUACGCCACCCCCGACUUUGCAUGAGCAGCAGUUCGAAAAGACGCUGACUUGGAGGAAGGACGUGAUAGCCUUUGUCCUCCCUGGUUGUAGCUGUUGGUGGAGAAAUCAGUGACGAAAUAGGGAGAAAAUCAGUGGGAAAAAAUGAUUAAACAAACAAUGAGCAAUUGAGCAGGGGUUUGUUUAUGUUUGUUUUGUUUAUUUUGUGUGUUAAAUACUUAUAGGUUUCCUCACCCACAACAUACCUGGUUCAGCUCAGUAAGGGCUUUAAAUUUAUGAGAAUUUACUCAUGUAUAUUUAUUAAUUCAUCACUUUCCUAGUCUUUUUAGAACAUGCAGAAUAUGCCAUUUCAACAUAUCUCUGUACCAACAUACCCACAGACUUCCACAGGUGGACUUUAGAAAUGGCAGAGAUUUGAGUUUGGUGUGUGCCUCUAAGUGUGUCUUGCAUGUUCUCUUCCUAAACCAUAUCCAGGAGUGACAUUCUAUGGAAAAAGGUAAGAGGCAAUCGUGGCAACAUAAUAUCGUGUAGAGACAUUGAUAUCGUUAUAUCACACAAGCCUGCAUACAGUGCUUGUUUAACUAUAGUACCUAGUGCCAGCUGAGGAGGACAGCUCCCUAAAAGGCUGGGUUUCUUCUGAGCUUUCUCCAUAAAUGAAUCUAAGUAAAUGUAACAUGGAGUUUUUCCUCACCACGGUUGCUCUUUUGGGAUUAAGGCACUGGGCAAAGUAUGGUAGCAAGUAAAAUCAGAUGCAGAAUGCAAUAUUGCAUUGCUUAACAAUGUUUAGGUAUAACAUACGGUCAUUUAAUUUGUGUAGUACUGCAUAUAAACUGUACUGAUCCUGUCCUGUUCUGCUCUCCGGACCUGCCUGAUCCAUCCUGAUGCCCUACCUCUGGUUGGAGCUCUCGUCACUUGGAAACCAUUCACUGCUGCUGAAGAUGGCCCCCACACAGACAGCCAAAAGAUACAUAAGAUUACUGUGGAUGGUACCACUUAAAAACCAUGAAGAUGGCUUUGGACUUCAGUUGAUACGAACACUUUUGCUACGAUAGUUGCUAUGAUAGCUUUAGGACUGCAAUUUGCCACGAACAGUUUUGCACUCAAGUCUCCAUCAGUGAACAGUUGAUAACUUCAACAAAAUAGACUUCUUGCAAAAACUAUAAUGAAUUUCCUGGUUACACAAUUGCACUUAUUGACCAUGUAGUACACAGUUAUAGAAGGGAAGUACUUAAUCACAGUAUUCACUGUCAUGCAGAUGAGGAUGGGUUCCCUUUUGAGUCUGGUUUCUCUCAAUGUUUCUUCCUCAUAUCAUCUCAGGGAGUUUUAUCUUGCCACUGUCACCUCUGACUUGCUCAUUAGGGAUAAUUAAAAUUUAUUUCCUGGAUUGCUGCAUUGUGUCAAUGUCCAUUGUUAAAA